rnacentral:rRNA from 1 species
CUUUACUAUAAGCUGGCAUUGCAUCGUUGGUUUGCUUGCGCAGUAUAGGUGGGAGGCUUUGAUGCUCCGACUUCGGUCGGGGUGGAGCCGCCGUUGAGAUACCACCCUUGCGUUCUGACGAUGCUCACCCAUCUGCAUAUACUCGGAUGGGGACAGUGCUUGCCGGGUAGUUUAACUGGGGCGGUUGCCUCCUAAAGUGUAACGGAGGCGCGCAAAGGUCCACUAGCACCGGAUGGAAAUCGGUGUCGUCGUGUAAUCGCACAAGUGGGCCUGACUGUGAGACUAACAAGUCGAGCAGAGACGAAAGUCGGUGAUAGUGAUCCGGCAACCUGAGCGUUUAAUCACGCUCUCUCCACGUGGGUGGGUUG